CCGUAUACGCCCUUCGGGGGAAAGAAUUUCGGUGAGGGAUCGGCCCGCGUUAGAUUAGUUAGUUGGUGGGGUAAUGGCCUACCAAGACUACGAUCUAUAGCUGGUUUGAGAGGAUGAUCAGCAACACUGGGACUGAGACACGGCCCAGACUCCUACGGGAGGCAGCAGUGGGGAAUCUUAGACAAUGGGGGCAACCCUGAUCUAGCGAUGCCGCGUGAGUGAUGAAGGCCUUAGGGUCGUAAAGCUCUUUCGCCUGUGAUGAUAAUGACAGUAGCAGGUAAAGAAACCCCGGCUAACUCCGUGCCAGCAGCCGCGGUAAUACGGAGGGGGUUAGCGUUGUUCGGAAUUACUGGGCGUAAAGCGCACGUAGGCGGAUUAGUCAGUCAGAGGUGAAAUCCCAGGGCUCAACCCUGGAACUGCCUUUGAUACUGCUAGUCUUGAGUUCGAGAGAGGUAAGUGGAAUUCCGAGUGUAGAGGUGAAAUUCGUAGAUAUUCCGGAGGAACACCAGUGGCGAAGGGCGGGCUUACUGUGCU
rnacentral:rRNA from 1 species